GCCCAACCACCAGCCCCGUCCCUCCUAUUGCAAAUGAAGUGUUCCUAGUCACCUUUGGAGAGGUUUCUAUCAGCAUUUUAGAUAGAAUUUCUCUUUAAAGCUCUAUGUCCUGGUUUUGUUAGUAAUGCAUGAAAAUGUCAAGGAUUCAUGGAAUUUUUAUCCUUGGUUACUUUUUGGAAUGUAAUUGUAUCCGUUACCUUUGAAUCCAUUGGCUCAGGUUCUCUAAGUAAAUCAUCCACUGCAAACUCCUUGAGGUAGGGACUGGUUUUUUUUUUUUCUCUCAUCAGUAACCUCAUCACUUAGCACAGAGCCUAGUAUACAGUAGGUAUACCCUGCUUAGUCUUUAGAAUUCUAGCAACCAGGAAUGCAUACACCCCCGCUUAAGGAUUAACUGUGAGAAGCAUGGCCUAUGACUGGCAUUUGCUAGCAAGUGACAAAUCAGGAACAACUGACUGACCCCCUGGGCUGUCCAAAGCCAAGAUUAAGGCACCAUUAGUACAUGUGAGACACAGGAAGUGACAUAAAGAAAGGCCUUUAUAUUUUGUGUCACUUCCUGUGAGAGGGGCUUUUGUGGACUUUGGUGGUGGAACGUGGCUUGAUGGAGCUCUAGCAUGGGACCUCCAUCUUCUUCCCUGAACAACCAUGUGAACAUGAACCCCUCCAUUCAGCUUUAAUUGCAUGGAGAUUUAAUUUGGCCUUGCUGCUUUGAAGUCCAUAUCAAGCACUGAAAAAAAGGGCUAUUGUGACUGUUGGCAAGGUCUCAGGAAAAAAAAAAAAAUCCGGUGGCUCCUGCGCUGACGAAUUUCUGAACUUCCACCUCCAGAAGACAGUUGACAGACUGACAUUUUGUAUUGCUGAAUCUGUUAAUGCCUCCAGACUACAAAUGUGAAUCUCACCAGCAUCCAAAGUCCAGAUCAGGAAGCCAAAAUUGGAAGAGCCAAAAAAUGCUGAAAACCACCAAGAACCUUCAGCACACAGGAGGCUAAGACUGCCAAGAAUCCCACCAGAUCUCACAUUCUUGAAGCUAAGAGCUACCAGAAGGAAGAGCCAAGAAUGAAGAAUGAAGAGAGUGAAUCUCUCUCAGGCUUAGAGUUUUCUCCACCCAUCAGCACCCCUCCUCACAUCUCAGGAAUCAAUCACAGUCUUUCAAUUUGUGUAGCACUGCC
rnacentral:lncRNA from 1 species